UACAGAGACUGCAAGCGUUAUUCGGAUUCACUGGGCGUAAAGGGUGCGCAGGCGGCCGUGUGUGUUAGAUGUGAAAUCCCGGGGCUCAACCCCGGAACUGCGUCUAAAACUACAUGGCUAGAGUAUUGGAGGGGGGACUGGAAUUCUCGGUGUAGCAGUGAAAUGCGUAGAUAUCGAGAGGAACACCAGUGGCGAAGGCGAGUCCCUGGACAACACCUGACACUGAGGCACGAAAGCUAGGGGAGCAAACAGG
rnacentral:rRNA from 1 species